UACGAAGGGGGCUAGCGUUGCUCGGAAUCACUGGGCGUAAAGCGUGCGCAGGCGGUUUUGGAAGUCAGAUGUGAAAUCCCCGGGCUUAACCUGGGAAUGGCAUUUGGGACUGCAAGGCUUGAGUGCGGCAGAGGAGACUGGAAUUCCUGGUGUAGCAGUGAAAUGCGUAGAUAUCAGGAGGAAUACCGAUGGCGAAGGCAGGUCUCUGGGCUGACACUGACGCUCAUGCACGAAAGCGUGGGGAGCAAACAGG
rnacentral:rRNA from 1 species